rnacentral:lncRNA from 1 species
AAUAAUCCCAGAAAAAUAAUUAAAAUGGCCUUAUUACAACCCAAAACCAAAUAAUAAUAUUAAUAAGAUAAAACUUAUAAAGAAAUAAAUCGGCUACUUAUUGCAAUUAAAAGAAACAAAAAUAGUAGUGUGGUCAUCUCCGAGUCCCUCGCAGCUUCAAACCAUCUAAGCUUAGGGAUUACCUACACAGUUAGAAAUGGGGUGAGUUUACGAAAACUCAGUGUGUAAUCCCCAACAACAAACAAACAAUGAAUAACACAGUGUCAAUACAAUCUGGGCCAAAGCCCUAUUCAGUAACAGUAUAGUCUGGGCCUUAGCCCUUAAAUAGUAGCAAUAUGGGCCUAAGCCCUAAUUCAGUCUCGACAUAUACUGGGCCGAAGCCUUUUCAUAAAUCAUAUCACUGGCCGAAGCCUUUACUGUAAGAGAUAUGGCUCAUAGGUCAAUUUCAAUAUCACAUGUACUAUCAAUGAAUGUAUGCAAGCCCAUUUGGGGAGACUACUCAACCCACCAUCCGCUACUCUCCACUCGUACCAACCAACACACCAUGUGGGGAAUAACUCAACCCACCCAACCAAACUCUCUACUGGCAGCAUAGCUGCUUUAUCAUAUAACUGGAGGCCUAGCUUCUUUUAAUAACUAGGGCAAAGCCCUUUCUGAUAAACUGGGGCAAAGCCCUUUUUCGGUAAACUGGCGCAGAGCCCUUUUAGCACUUCCUCCAUCAAUAUAACCCAUCUCCCAUGCAAUAUGUCAUGUAUGCAGAAUGUCAUGCCCAUAGUUGAAUCAAACAAUCACAGUCAAGUCAUUCAUAUCACCAACAUAUAUUCACAAUCAAUCCGUCAACCACACAGUCCAAGUCAGUCACUUGCCCACAAGGGCAAAACAGUCAUUUUUCAUAUUAUAAGGGUAUUUUCAUAAUUUUACCAAAAAUCAGGGUUUUCCAUGUUCGUUACGAUUGUCAAUAUUUCUUAGUGUUUAAUCAAUGAUCUUUAACCCACUUAUCAAAUUCAGGCUUUUGGGCCCAAAACCCCUAAUGGGCCCUACGAAUGUUGAUUUAGCCCACUGAGCCUGCUUAACCCAAAUUUUACAACAAUACUAACCGUGUUAACAUGCAACUUUUCCAAAUUCCAUUUUCUAUCAAUUUUACCCAAAUGGGCCCAAAAGCCCAUUUGGUCCAAUUUUUGCCCAUUGAGGCCCAACUUACCAUCGUGCACAAAAUUGAGUUCUUACCCGUUCCAUCGAUCCAAACACUGAUCUUAUCGUAUUUAUCGCAUCUAUACCCACAUGCAACAUUACAAGUUCCCGAAAUGCCAGUAUUUUAGCAUUUCGGCUUCUCAGCAGAUAUUAAUCUAAGCUACUACGAGGGUUAGUACACACCUGUUAUGGGUUGAAGUUGAAACAUUUCCAUAAUCAAUCACCUACGAUAACCACCACCUGUCACUCAAACUUAACUAAUCCAAUAUCAAUAUAUGUAAAUCCUAAGCACAUCAGUCAUACGGAACAUAAGGGCAUAUUCAUCAUUUUACCAUACAAGGGUAUUACAGUCACUUUACCCUACAAGGGCUUUACGGUCUUUUUACCUAUUAGGGAUAUUUUAGUCAUUUCAUCCUACAAGGGUGUUUUGGUAAAUCUACAAACCAAGGGUAUUUCAGUAAUUUUGUAAACAAAUGGUAUUUCUAUAAUUUUUAGAAAGUCAAAGGUAUUUCUGUAAUUUUGUAAAUCAGGGGUAUUUUGGUAAUUUUACAAAUUGAGGGUAUUUCGAUAAUUUCACAAACUAGUGGUAUUUCGAUAAUUUUACAAACUAGGGGUAUUUUGGUAAUUUUACAAACUAGGGGUAUUUUGGUAAUUUAAUCCUACAGGGGUAUUUCAGUAAUUUCACAAUCGAGGGUAAAAUGGUAAUUUUGUAAACUGAGGGUAAAAUAGUAAUUUUGUAAAUCGAGGGUAAAAUGCUAAUUCUAUAAAUCAAGGGUAGAAUGGUAAUUCUACUAAUCGAGGGCAUUUCAGUAAUUUGGUAAACUAAAGUAUUCUAAACAGGGAUAACAAUACAAAUGGGCCUAAUGCCUAUUCUUGGCCCAAAUAGGCCCACACGCUCGUGUGGCCCUUUUAGCCCAAAUCUAACCACAAAUGUGAGAUUCACCUAGCCUAGUCCAAUAUUUACUACACAAUCAAACAACUUAUCCAAUUGGGCCCGUCGGCCCAUUAGGCCCACAUAACCCCUUUCGGCCAAUCGCGGCCCGAAGUAGCCAUCCUACAACUAGAGUAGUGAGAAAAUACACACCUGAUAGGAGACUGGAGUUAAUCCACGCUCCAGCACUCUUAGCUGACGCCCAACCCAAACGAGCACGCCAUACAACGAAAGGGAUCAGCC